CCUACGGGUGGCAGCAGUGGGGGAUAUUGCACAAUGGGGGGAACCCUGAUGCAGCGACGCCGCGUGGGUGAAGGAGCGUUUCGGCGCGUAAAGCCCUAUCGGCAGGGAAGAAGCUGACGGUACCUGACCAAGAAGCCCCGGCUAACUACGUGCCAGCAGCCGCGGGAAGACGUAGGGGGCAAGCGUUAUCCGGAUGUACUGGGUGUAAAGGGGGCGCAGACGGGAAUGCAAGCCAGGAGUGAAAGCCCGGGGCCCAACCCCGGGACUGUUCUUGGAACUGGAUGGCUUGAGUACAGGAGGGGCAGGCGGAAUUCGUAGUGUAGCGGUGAAAUGCGUAGAUAUUAGGAGGAACACCGGUGGAGAAGGCAGCCUGCUAGACUGUGACUGACGUUGAGGCCCGAAGGCGUGGGGAGCAAACAGGAUUAGAUACCCGAGUAGUC
rnacentral:rRNA from 1 species